UGCCAGCCGCCGCGGUAAUACGGAGGGUGCACGCGUUGUUCGGAAUUAUUGGGCGUAAAGCGCGUGUAGGCGGUUCGUUAAGUCAGAGGUGAAAGCCCACAGCUCAACUGUGGAACUGCCUUUGAUACUGUUAAGCUUGAAUAAGGAUGAGGUCAGCGGAAUGUGGCAUGUAGCGGUGAAAUGCAUAGAUAUGCCAUAGAACACCGAUUGCGAAGGCAGCUGGCUAGACCUUUAUUGACGCUGAGGCACGAAAGCGUGGGGAGCGAACAGGAUUAGAUA
rnacentral:rRNA from 1 species